GAGAUUCGACGCAUUCGGAGGAAGUACGCGCCUUCAACCAGAUCAUCUGACAUUGUUGUUAGGGAUCCUUAGGAUGACUAGUCUCCUUUUCUCUUGUAUUUUUAUUUGGUUUCUGAAGUUGUACUCAGUGUAAUCCUUCCAAUUUUAUAAAUAAAAAGAGAUUUUUGGUCAUAUCAAAUUAUUGCAAUUGUUGUUAAAUAUGUA
rnacentral:lncRNA from 1 species